GUAUUGCUGACGUGUCCAAACAAGGACGAAACGGUUGUCCAAUGC
rnacentral:hammerhead_ribozyme from 1 species